rnacentral:misc_RNA from 1 species
UGGUCACAGAGAAGCAAAGAGUGUCCAAUAUGUUGGCAGCUUCUUGUCCUGAAGGAUCCUGCUUGCCAAGAACUUCUAGCUGCUGUUGAGACUGAGAGGUGUUUAAGGUCAAGAAACACAUCUUCUGCUGCAUCCACAAACCUAACCCAUUUUCAUGAAGAUUUUGAUAUAGAACAGGAUUCCUAUUCAGAUGACUCAGAUUUCGAUGAGCAUAUUAUGCAGCAUCUGGCAGCUGCUGCAAGCAGAGCUCAUUAUAUCCGCAGAAGGGAGAGGCAGAGAUCUUCUGGACAGGGUCCCUCGCAGUUUCUCAUCUUUAACUCGCCUACAAAUGUACCCAGUGCUCAGCAAACACACAGGUCUACUGAAGAAGGCCAAGAUGUAUAUAGUGGGUUUUCAGAGGGCAAUUCGCCAAUUCAUCUCAUGCCACCACAAGCUCUGCCAUCUGUGGUCCCUCCUGUUGUGAAUGUGGUCUCUAGUAAUGCUGUAAACAGAGACAUUCCUUCCAAACCCAGAGUUUUCAUUAGACCACCAUCAACUGAUGCUCCCCAAACAUCUUCUGAGGUGUCAUCUUUCUCAGAGUCCAUUAAAUCUAAAUGGGUUGCUGCUUCAGCCAGAUACAAGGAGUCGUUCUCUAAAAGUACUCGAGUUAUGAAGGAGAAGCUACUUGCACGUAAUAAUUCAGUUAAGGAGCUUAGCAAAGGAGUUCAGAGGGAGAUGAGUGCAGGUAUUGCCGGUGUCGUGCGAAUGAUUGAGCGGUUAGAUGUUACCUCAAAACGAACUGAAGCCACCAGUCAAGUUUCUGAUUUGAGGCCAGGAGCUUCAGACCUCUCUUUGAAGGGAAAGGGCAUGCAAGAAAACAUUAAUGCUCAGGCGAUUGACAAAAAAAGAGAGGAAAUUGCACAUGCUGCAAGCAUGGAUGUUUCUUCAACUGUCCCAGGUCAAUCGGAAGUUCCGCACGUACAGAGAGGUCAUUGAUCCUGUGGAGA